UUUGACUCAACACUGGAAACCUCACCCAGCCCCAACAUGGGCAGGAUUGACUGAUUGAUAGCUCUUUCUGGAUUCUGUGGAUGGUGGUGCAUGGCCUUCAUGGAGCGAUUUUUCUGGUUAAUUCCAAUAAGGAGCCUUUUCCCUACUUUGUCUCAUUCCCUCCUCACAGAAUUCCUGUAGGGAGAUGAGAUUAUCCCCAUUUCAUAGAUGAGGAAACCAAGGCUCAGAGAGGCCAAGUGACUGAUCUUUCCUUGACUGGU
rfam:Ovis aries breed Texel chromosome 15, whole genome shotgun sequence.